rnacentral:lncRNA from 1 species
AGCUGUUUGAUGGUACUAUCAAGAGCUUGAUAGCUAUGUAUGGCUAAUGGCUAGUAUUGAACUAGUCACAUGUGCCUAGUGGCUAGCUUACUGGAUGGAACAUUUCCAUCAGAGCAGAAAGUUCGAUUGGACAGCACUGGUGUGUAGGCUGUAUUGUGUAGUGGUUAUGAGCAUGGGUUCUGGAGCUGUACUGCCCAGCACUGCUAUUUCCGAGAUAAGAAGACUAAAAUCUAAAGAGACUAAAUUUCAAACUCAAGGUCAUAUAGCAAAUAACAUAGUUAAGAGUCAAAUCUAAGUCUGGAUCCAAAAUCCAUGCUCUUUCUUCUAUUCCAAAAUAAUUUUCUCCAGCUAAUCAAAUAUUCUACUUACCAGCAGGUCACAACCUAUGUCAUAUACUUGGUUCUAAUUUGGAAAGAAUUAUAAUUUACCAGACACAAUCAAUUCCUUCUGCAAUGAUGCAGAAGGCCCCAUAGAACCUUUCAAUGUGGUUGCUGAAUGACUCUGAGCAUAAUUAUUAUCGGAAAG